CUCUGACCUAAUCCUGGGUGCCUUCCCAUGUGCAGUCGAAAACAGGAACCAGGUGUCUUCUGCUAUCACUUCUGAGAGGAAGCAAAGCAGCCAUGCUUGACUACUCAGUCGUUGGCAUCAUUGUGGUUCUCUCCUUCUGUCAUCCGCAACUUUCUGAGUCCUCCGUUCUCAGUGCGAAUGAGGAAACCAUCCAAGACAGGAACAUCGUAAUACGACGCGUGACUGCAAAUGUCAACUCUACAUCAGUGCGCUGCCCUGAUCUGCAAGAUGACGAGAACAUCACUGUUACGCUGUACAAAACGGCCGUGCUACACUCAACCUUCUUCAGCAGGAUUAAACCACGGAACGAGUCCUCCGAAAAGGAGAGGUUUCAAGUGUCUGUUAAUAAUAACACGGUCCGUUAUUUGAUAGGCUGGCCUCGAGCCAAUGAUACAGGCCUCUACAGCUGCAAUGUCCUCACUGGCCCAGAUAACAGAACAAGCAGGACAAACACCUUUCUAUUUGUUAAAGAUCCAGCUCCACAGGAAGGAAAGCCAGUGACAAGCAUGGUCCUGGUAGCAUGUUGCGGGCUGCUGGCUUUGUACAGCCUUAUUGUCACAAUUGUCAUGGGCUCUUUUGUUUGGAAACUCAAAUGUGUGGAGACACUUAAUCAAAGUGAUUACAUCAGCACACAGCCAGGAGAGUUCCAAAGAGUGAAAUGAGUUCAGCAUCCAGCCGCAGAUGCCAUCUGGCCACAACAGCACAUAACUGACCAAGUGACCAUGACAGUCUAUCCAUAAAACAGCAGUAAUCUAGAACUCUAUGUUUCAAAGACAACUGUCAGCUAUGUAUAAUCAGUGUGCUUAACUGAUUAAGAAACUAUAGUUAUGUUCUGGAUUCUUAUUUGCAAUCUUGUAACCAUUCAGUCUGCCAGAAUACUGUGUCAUUUGUAUUCUAUGUUGUAGUGUUGCAAGUGAGAUUCCCUAAGUAAUGCUCUGAUAUAUGUCAUCUGUGCAGCAUGUGGAUUUGUUGUUUAAGACAGUUGUUGAAUAAAGCAACAUCUGCUUCACAUUGCAUAUUUCUGUCAGAUGAAUUCAUUAACUAUUUUUAUCUCAGCAUAACAAAUUUUGUGCCAAUUAAUAUUAAUCAUCAAUAUCAAUAUCAAAAUAAAACCAAAAUAAAGCUGAU
ensembl:lncRNA